GGACCCGCACAAGCAGCGGAGCAUGUGGUUUAAUUCGACGCAACGCGAAAAACCUUACCAAGACUUGACAUCGUAUGACCGCCAUAGAAAUAUGGUUUUCUCUUUGAGACAUAUAGACAGGUGGUGCAUGGUUGUCGUCAGCUCGUGUCGUGAGAUGUUGGGUUAAGUCCCGCAACGAGCGCAACCCUUAUGGCUAGUUGCCAAUAUUAAGUUAGGAACUCUGGCCAGACUGCCGUGGAUAACACGGAGGAAGGUGGGGAUGACGUCAAAUCAUCAUGCCCCUUACGUCUUGGGCUACACACGUGCUACAAUGGCUAUCACAAAGAGCAGCAAAAUGGUAACAUCAAGCAAAUCUCAAAAAAAUAGUCUCAGUUCGGAUUGUGGGCUGCAACCCGCCCACAUGAAGUCGGAGUUGCUAGUAAUCCCGAAUCAGCAUGUCGGGGUGAAUGCGUUCCCGGGUCUU
rnacentral:rRNA from 1 species